GGGAUUUUGGGGGGAUUUUGGGGGGUUCUUUCCAUCCCGUGCCUUUCCCAGAGGGAUUUUGGGGUUUCUCUCCAUCCUGUGCCUCUCCUGGAGGGAUUUUGGGGGGUUCUUUCCAUCCUGUGCCUCUCCCGGAGGGAUUUUGGGGAGGAUUUGGGGGAGAUUUUGGGGUUUCUCUCCAUCCUGUGCCUCUCCCGGAGGGAUUUGGGGGAGAUUUUGGGGGGGGAUUUUGUGGGAUUCCCUCCAUCCUGUGCCUCUCCCAGCGGGAUUUGGGGAGGAUUUGGGGAGGAUUUGGGGGUUUCCCUCUCUCCCAUGCCUCUCCCAGCAGGAUU